rnacentral:rRNA from 1 species
CCUGCCAGCCCGCUCAGAACUCAAGGAAUUGACGGGACCGCACAAGCAGCGGAGCGUGUGGUUAAUUCGAUGCUACACGAAGAACCUUACCAAGGUUUGACAUGUAAGUGGUAGUGAUCUGAAAAGUGAACGACCCUUCGGGGAGCUUACACAGGUGCUGCAUGGCUGUCGUCAGCUCGUGUCGUGAGAUGUUCGGUUAAGUCCGCUAACGAGCGCAACCCUCACUGUGUGUUACAUGUGUCACACGGGACUGCCGGUUUUAGGCCGGAGGAAGGCGAGGAUGACGUCAAGUCAGCAUGGCCUUUAUAUCUUGGGCUACACACACGCUACAAUGGUCUGUACAAUAGGUUGCCAAGCCGCGAGGCGGAGCCAAUCCUUAAAGCAGGCCUCAGUUCAGAUUGCAGGCUGCAACCCGCCUGCAUGAAGAUGGAGUUGCUAGUAACCGCAGGUCAGCUAUACUGCGGUGAAUACGUUCCCGGGUCUU